UACGUAGGGGGCAAGCGUUGUCCGGAAUCAUUGGGCGUAAAGAGCGUGUAGGCGGCUCGGUAAGUCCGCUGUGAAAGUCCAGGGCUCAACCCUGGAAUGCCGGUGGAAACUGUCGAGCUAGAGUCCGGAAGAGGCGAGUGGAAUUCCUGGUGUAGCGGUGAAAUGCGCAGAUAUCAGGAGGAACACCAAUGGCGAAGGCAGCUCGCUGGGACGGUACUGACGCUGAGACGCGAAAGCGUGGGGAGCAAACGGG
rnacentral:rRNA from 1 species